rnacentral:rRNA from 11 species
CCAGCGGAGGGAUCAUU